rnacentral:tRNA from 1 species
GCCAUUGUGGUGUAGUGGUCAGCACACUCGGCGCGUAUUCGAGAGGUCCGUUGUUCGAGUCCGGCAAGGGCC